AAAGCUGCUGGGCAAGAGAUACCGUGAUCAUGAGGGCGGUUGUCCCAGGGUGAGGCUCACCAUCGCACUCCGAUGGUGUUGACCCCUACAAUUAACCCAAAUGCGGUUAACUCGAGAGCGGAAUUUUUGUUUGCAGGGGACUGUAUUUUUUCUAUCCCCUU